GCGAAUCAGCAACGUCGCGGUGAAUGCGUUCCCGGGCCUUGUACACACCGCCCGUCAAGUCAUGAAAGUGGGCAGCACCCGAAGCCGGUGGCCUAACCCGUGAGGGGUGGAGCCGUCUAAGGUGAGGCUCGUGAUUGGGACUAAGUCGUAACAAGGUAGCCGUACCGGAAGGUGCGGCUGGAUCACCUCCUUU
rnacentral:rRNA from 2 species